GAGAGAGCAAUAAUGGUGCACAAUAUGCUCUUAAACACUGAUGCAUAACACAUUGUGCUAGAGCCAAAAGGCACUGUACAAUAUCAUUAUGGUGCAGGGAGAAGUGGCAACUUUGGGAGAUGCUUUCGUAAAGAUCUGAAUACACAGGGAGAUCAGUUUUUUGGGAUCAGUGUCAUGGAGUAAGAAGACUUGCAGCUGGAAUGUCGAUUAACGCAAGUGUAACUGGUUCAGCAAUAAUACUGCAAACCUCUUUGAUACCCAGAAGCAAGAACUACUGCAAAUAAUAUAUUCCUUGCAAUUUUUUUUGCCAUGUGCAAAAAUCAGGAAAAGCAGCAUAAUCUCUGACUUGCCUCAGCAGUAAAUAUGUUUUCCCCAAAUCAGUACUCCUUGUGGCAUCGUCUCUGCAUUCCAUGUUGAUUUGUUCAGCUUACAGUGUUUGAAUUUCCUAAUAAUGACUGAAUAGCGGAUGAAUGUUUUUGAUAACUUGCUUGAGAGUUAUCUUGGUCAUGUUGGGUAGAAGGGUAACAACCUUCUGAGCUGCACAACUUCUGAGUUCUACACAACAAGAUUUAGGAUGAUGAUUGUGAUGGUGACUAUUUCUCAGCUAAUCUUUUAAAGC
rnacentral:lncRNA from 1 species